UCCCGGAAACAAAAAAUCACCCAACGGGGGGCUCGAACCCCCGACCACACGAUUAAGA
rnacentral:tRNA from 1 species